rnacentral:rRNA from 1 species
ACACUCCUACGGGAGGCAGCAGUGGGGAAUUUUGGACAAUGGGCGAAAGCCUGAUCCAGCAAUGCCGCGUGAGUGAAGAAGGCCUUCGGGUUGUAAAGCUCUUUUGUCAGGGAAGAAACGGUGAGAGCUAAUAUCUCUUGCUAAUGACGGUACCUGAAGAAUAAGCACCGGCUAACUACGUGCCAGCAGCCGCGGUAAUACGUAGGGUGCAAGCGUUAAUCGGAAUUACUGGGCGUAAAGCGUGCGCAGGCGGUUUUGUAAGUCUGAUGUGAAAUCCCCGGGCUCAACCUGGGAAUUGCAUUGGAGACUGCAAGGCUAGAAUCUGGCAGAGGGGGGUAGAAUUCCACGUGUAGCAGUGAAAUGCGUAGAUAUGUGGAGGAACACCGAUGGCGAAGGCAGCCCCCUGGGUCAAGAUUGACGCUCAUGCACGAAAGCGUGGGGAGCAAACAGGAUUAGAAACCCUGGUAGUCCCAU